GUGUUUGUCUGUGUGUUUGUGGGUAAUUGUUUGUGAGCACCGCUUGUUUAGCCUGCCACACUGGUUGGUCGUGAGUAUCGUUUAUUGUUUUUUUUUUCUUUCUGUGGAUGCUUUACGUAUUUCAUUAAAAGAAUGAGUAUCCACAUUCCCGCUGCAUUUUGGUCUUCUCUCCACUACGACAAUUGUGACAGUACCAGUCAAAAGUUUGGACACAGCUACUCAUUCCAGGGUUUCUUUUUUUGCUAUUUUCUAUAUUGUAAUAAUAGUGAAGACAUCAAAACUAUGAAAUAACACAUAUGGAAUCAUGUAGUAGCCAAAAAAGUGUUAAACAAAUCAAAACCGACUUUAUAUUUGAGAUUCUUCAAAGUAGCCACCCUUUGCCUUGAUGACAGCUUUGAUGACAGCUUAGUAAACUUUGAAAAUGGGUCCCACAGACCUGAACGAUACUGAGAUAAACAUAGCUGCAUUGGACCUUUUAAGGAAAAACUAUUGGUCUGUGAAGCAAAAUAUUACAGUGCACUCUGCUUAUAAAAACGAUUUAAGACUCCGAAGGACAGAAACAUUCUGAUACCAUGUACAGAUAUUGAUCUUAAUUCGAACCAGUUUGCUACAGCAGGAAAAUAAUCAAAUACACUAAGUUUUACAUUUCUUGCAAUGUAGAAAAGUUCUCGUGCAACAGGAUCAUUCAUCUGUACGUCUCUUGUAAGGAUCAAUCAGUUAAAUGAAUAAGUGCACUGUGUUUGUAACAGGUGACGGUGAAUAUCAGGUAGACUGGGUGAGAGUAACAUACUAGUGUAACAUGACCAAUGUGUAACUUGUGUGCGUCUAUAGGAGAUCAAGUCAAGAGACACAAGAUGAACCUGUUCACCCAGCAAACUGUGAUGCUUUGGCUCUGUGUUGCUCGUACACUCACGACGGCAGAGCUGGUGAAGCUAAGCACUGUUGACUCUGUCAUUGUGUGGUGUCACCAGAGUGUCCGCCUCCAAUGUAACAUCUCCACCUCCCAGGAGGGACUGUUGAUCAAACAUCUGGCCUGGGUCCGCCAGGACGGGAAGCACCUGUGUGAUGUUAACGGAACUGAAGUGACCGGGACCCACCCAGGGAGCACAACUAGUGCUAUGGAGUGUAGUUAUACCCCACAGACACAGCUGUCCCUGACUCUGCUGCAGGUACGACCACUGGAUCAGGGAAAGUACUUGUGCAAGCUGCGCUCCAGUCAUGGAGUAAAGGAGGCCACUACAAUGGUGAAGCUGCAAGAGUCCUACAAGGAGGCCCAGCCCAGUAUCAGUGAUGAGGGCCCAACCUGCACCUUCACUGGGGUCUAUCCUGAUGGCGAGGUGCACUGGUUCCAGGGACCCAACAACGUGACUGGGGACUCUACAAUCAACACUAAACAAGUGGAAGAUGGAGCGUCAUUGACUAUAACUAGUUCCCUGAAAAGAAAGACAGUCUCUGGGGAAGAGGCCUACAACUGCUCCCUGUGGAUCCCCAGUACCGGAUCCUACCUGACCAGCAGCUUAGUGGUACCAGAGCAUGAUAAAGCCAGGGUUGCGCAGCCCAAUGCCAGUGGGUCAGGGUCCAUUGGUCCUUUGUGGAAACCUUUUCUAGUCCUCCUGAGUACUCUCUUCCUGGUGUGACGUCUUGAAAACAAACAUGAACAAAUUGACAAGCAAGUGCCAGGAUCAUUUAAUAAGAAUAUGGAAGAGCCAUUGUGUGAGGUUCCUUUCAUGGUCCAAAGGUUUCCUUGGCUGCGUAGAACAAGGAAAUGAUGAACAGAUGAGAGAGGCUGAUCAACCUAUUGUGAACGCACCCUUGUUGGUCUGCCAGUGCCAGAUAUAAAUGAUUGUUAAUUAAAAACUGCAAACGGCAGUAGAAACAGUAACAAAGCUUACUUCCUGCCAGUUUUGGUAAAAAAUUGAGGGAUGGGGCUGGAGAAAUGUAACCACUCUCAAAUUCAUAGACGCGCUUUGGAUGCAUGGACUGACCAUCCAUGAUAUCAAAAUAAUAGUUUUAACAAUGUUUUGAGGCUAUAUAGUGUUUUAUUAAAUUGGAGUUGAACAAGCUUCUGAUGGGGUAAGAGAGUUGCACUAAGCUCAUGAGGCAUUUAUAAGUUACAUUCUUCAAGAAUUAAUGUGUACAUAUUAAAAAAAUGAUGUGACAACUACUGAUUGCCCCUUUAAGGGCGUGACCUUUUGUAGAAAAGCCUUCCUGUUUGCGUUAAUCAGAGAGAUCCCCUUGGACAGGAGCGGUGGUUUAACUGGGUUGAUUUUUUUUGUUGUUGAUUUUUUAAGUACAAUGGUAAAUGUAGUGUUUGCUGGCGCCCAUAGUCCACCUAGACACAUCCUCCGUGAGUGUUGUAACACCAACGUUUAACUGAAUGAGAAUUGUGAGAAAUGUAUUGUUAGUAAUGUUUGUUUGUGAGGUGAUAUUCCUGCUUAGGAUGGAUGUAAAU
rnacentral:lncRNA from 1 species